ensembl:snoRNA
GUGCCCUUUAACGGCUGACCCAGUACCUUAAGAGGCAAACAAAGAAGGGUAGAGUAAGUUUCCAUGAAACCCAGAGAAGAGAUUGUAAAACUUCUUGAUCCUGUCUGGAGUCACAACU